AGAAGCCUCUGAGCCCAGGGCAAAGGCAGGCCCACCACAGACAAGCUACAAGGCCUCUCCACAACCCCACUGCCAUGUUGCCCGCCUGGGCCACUCUUGCUGUGGGGAAGCAGGUGCAGGGCUGGAAACCCAGAGGCCUAAUUUCUUCAGUGCUAAAAGGAUUGUGAGAAAUCAGCAGGCUGAAUUUGAAGAGAAAAUAUAACCCCAGAGAGAAAGCAAUUUGGGACUGAGAGGAGCAGAAGAGAAGGGGCAGGGGAAGAAGCCCGUCUGAGAACUGGUAGCCACAGACUGACCCGCAUGCGCUUUGCCACCCCAGGCACAGUAGCCUGGGGGAGACAAGGAACCUCAAGCUGUGAACCUGGUCUGAAAUUUUUCUACCUGUAAGUGUCCCAACUGCCUAUAUAAGAAACAAAUACAAGGCUGGAGGGGGCCACGUCCAUUCCAGACCUUGGGGAAAGCCCCACAAAUAAUUUUUCAAAGCCAGUAACCGUAACCAGGUCAAAAAUGACAAAAUACAUAAAGACAAGAGGGACUAUAAGUCAGAACCAACAGAAGUAGAGCCAUGAUUACUGAAGAUACUGUAAUUAUCAGACAAAGAGGAUAAAGUAAUUACCCUUACUAUGUUCUAAAAAAAUGAACAAGCUGAAAAUAACUUCAGAGAAUAGUAAACUACAGAAAGUGACAUGGCAUUUUUUUAA